CUCUUCGGGGAUGAUUAAACCGGCGCACGGGUGAGUAACACGUGAGUGACCUGCCUUUUAGACUGGAACAACUUACCGAAAGGUGAGCUAAUGCCGGAUGAGUUAUAUAAGUGCAUGUUUAUAUAGGAAAAGUUGGGGAGACCUGACGCUGAAAGAUGGACUCGCGUCCCAUUAGCUAGUUGGUAGGGUAAUGGCCUACCAAGGCGACGAUGGGUAGCCGGCCUGAGAGGGUGGCCGGCCACACUGGGACUGAGACACGGCCCAGACUCCUACGGGAGGCAGCAGUGGGGAAUUUUGCGCAAUGCUCGUAAGAGUGACGCAGCGACGCCGCGUGAAUGACGAAGGCCUUCGGGUCGUAAAGUUCUUUCGACAGGGAAGAAAAUGCCUAUAAGUAACUGUGUAUGUAUUGACGGUACCUGUAUAAGCAGCCCCGGCUAACUCCGUGCCAGCAGCCGCGGUAAUACGGAGGGGGCGAGCGUUGUUCGGAGUGACUGGGCGUAAAGAGCACGUAGGCGGUGUUGUAAGUCAUUAGUCAAAGACUAGAGCUCAACUUUAGUAAGGCUAGUGAUACUAUAAUACUAGAGUAUCAGAGAGGAUUGCAGAAUUCCUGGUGUAGCGGUGAAAUGCGUAGAUAUCAGGAGGAAUACCGUUAGCGAAGGCGGCAAUCUGGCUGGAAACUGACGCUGAGGUGCGAAAGCGUGGGUAGCAAACAGGAUUAGAUACCCUGGUAGUCCACGCUGUAAACGAUGGAUGCUAGGUGUUGGGCUUUUAAGUUCAGUGCCGCAGCAAACGCGAUAAGCAUCCCGCCUGGGGAGUACGUUUGCAAGAAUGAAACUCAAAGGAAUUGACGGGGG
rnacentral:rRNA from 1 species